UACGGGGGGGGCAAGGCGUUGUUCGGAAUUACUGGGCGUAAAGGGCUCGUAGGCGGCCAACUAAGUCAGACGUGAAAUCCCUCGGCUUAACCGGGGAACUGCGUCUGAUACUGGAUGGCUUGAGGUUGGGAGAGGGAUGCGGAAUUCCAGGUGUAGCGGUGAAAUGCGCAGAUAUCAGGAGGAACACCGGUGGCGAAGGCGGGUCUCUGGGCAGUAACUGACGCUGAGACGCGAAAGCGUGGGGAGCAAACAGG
rnacentral:rRNA from 1 species